UAAUAUACCUAGUAUUACAGAAUAACACAAAAAUUAAGGCAAGAAGCAAAUUAUUGACAAACGUCACAAGUACAUUAGUCAAAAUUUGUAAAAAUAUAACCUGUCUGUCAACGAUAAGUAAUACCUAAAAUUUAGGGAGAUCAAAAACCGUAUCCUAACGUAAGGUAAUGCUUAAGCGGUUUAGGCAAUUCUUAUCAUAUGGUGAAAUCCGUUUUAGAGUUAGGAAGUACCUAAACCCACUUAGGUAAUUCUUAAAUAUUUAGGUAUCGUUGGUGAAAUCGGGCAUAAUUCUCACACAUUUUAUCUAGCAUAAAUAUGGAAAAAGAAAAUAAUGUUUAUAACUGUACCUAAGAUAAUAAAAAAAUAAAAAUAUAAUCAUUAAUGGAUACGUUUGAACCGAUAGUUUAAUAAUUAUAUUUAGCAGCUUAUUUAUAAACGCUUAUAACGUUACAAACGUCACAUCUUUGCUAUUUUAUUUUUAAAUAAUUAUUUUAUUCUAUCUUCUUUAUUAAUUCAUUAAUAAUAAUCUUCUAUUUGUUUUACCUGUUUUCCCCGUUAAAAAUUGGUUGGCGCCCUCUUUCGUUAUUUAUAGGAAUAUCUCAACAUUCCUGUUCAAUCUCAGCAUAGAACAUUCUUAUUCAAUCGUUCUGUGGUUCAUGACAAUGACAUCCCACUGUCGUUUCUCGUUUCAAGUUUUAAGCCCCCACUCACGAAGUCUGUCAAGUGUUCCUCUUGUCAAAAUGGAUGAAUAUGUUUUCUUUUAAUUUUAAAAUCUACUUAAGGCAAUGUCUGGCCUCGUAGCCACAUUUUCAAACAGACGUUCUUAUUUGGAUUUUCUGGACAAAUAAUAAACUACACCGAACAACCCCUUCACCGGGAGGACUUCCUACAACUGGACCCCCAAUGUCACCGGCGAUGCAGCGAUAACCGCAACAAAGAAACAAUAACCGACCAACACCUUUAGGUCUGGUGGCCAGAACAUCCACGUCGCCAGAGCCAGUGUAGAAACAACAGCAAGACACCAAGAACCCGCAGACAGAUACCAAGUGCCAUCAAAUAAGUAUAAUCUCUGAUCUGUUAAGUUUCGGCAAGGUCUUGUAUAUUAUCUUUUAAUACAUUAAUUUGUCUUCUAUGAAAAAUAAACAUGAUUAG
rnacentral:lncRNA from 1 species